rnacentral:rRNA from 1 species
GGGUUGUGAGGUUAAGCGACUAAGCGUACACGGUGGAUGCCUAGGCAGUCAGAGGCGAUGAAGGGCGUGCUAAUCUGCGAAAAGCGUCGGCAAGGUGAUAUGAACCGUUAUACCCGACGAUACCCGAAUGGGGAAACCCAGUGUGUUUCGACACACUAUCAUUAACUGAAUCCAUAGGUUAAUGAGGCGAACCGGGGGAACUGAAACAUCUCAGUACCCCGAGGAAAAGAAAUCAACCGAGAUUCCCCCAGUAGCGGCGAGCGAACGGGGAGGAGCCCAGAACCUGAAUCGGCUUGUGUGUCAGUGGAAGCGUCUGGAAAGGCGCACGAUACCGGGUGACAGUCCCGUACACGAAGAUGCACAGGCCGUGAGUUCGAUGAGUAGGGCGGGACACGUGGUAUCCUGUCUGAACAUGGGGGGACCAUCCUCCAAGGCUAAAUACUCCUGACUGACCGAUAGUGAACCAGUACCGUGAGGGAAAGGCGAAAAGAACCCCGGCGAGGGGGAGUGAAAUAGAACCUGAAACCGUGUACGUACAAGCAGUGGGAGCCUUGAUUUAUCAGGGUGACUGCGUACCUUUUGUAUAAUGGGUCAGCGACUUAUAUUCUGUAGCAAGGUUAACCGAAUAGGGGAGCCGCAGGGAAACCGAGUCUUAACUGGGCGUCUAGUUGCAGGGUAUAGACCCGAAACCCGGUGAUCUAGCCAUGGGCAGGUUGAAGGUUGGGUAACACUAACUGGAGGACCGAACCGACUAAUGUUGAAAAAUUAGCGGAUGACUUGUGGCUGGGGGUGAAAGGCCAAUCAAACCGGGAGAUAGCUGGUUCUCCCCGAAAGCUAUUUAGGUAGCGCCUCGUGAAUUCAUCUUCGGGGGGUAGAGCACUGUUUCGGCUAGGGGGCCAUCCCGGCUUACCAACCCGAUGCAAACUGCGAAUACCGAAGAAUGUUAUCACGGGAGACACACGGCGGGUGCUAACGUCCGUCGUGAAGAGGGAAACAACCCAGACCGCCAGCUAAGGUCCCAAAGUCAUGGUUAAGUGGGAAACGAUGUGGGAAGGCCCAGACAGCCAGGAUGUUGGCUUAGAAGCAGCCAUCAUUUAAAGAAAGCGUAAUAGCUCACUGGUCGAGUCGGCCUGCGCGGAAGAUGUAACGGGGCUAAAACCAUGCACCGAAGCUGCGGCAGCGACGCUUAGGCGUUGUUGGGUAGGGGAGCGUUCUGUAAGCCUGAGAAGGUGGCCUGUGAGGGCUGCUGGAGGUAUCAGAAGUGCGAAUGCUGACAUAAGUAACGAUAAUGCGGGUGAAAAACCCGCACGCCGGAAGACCAAGGGUUCCUGUCCAACGUUAAUCGGGCAGGGUGAGUCGACCCCUAAGGCGAGGCUGAAAAGCGUAGUCGAUGGGAAACAGGUUAAUAUUCCUGUACUUGGUGUUACUGCGAAGGGGGACGGAGAAGGCUAUGUCAUCCGGGCGACGGUUGUCCCGGUUUAAGCGUGCAGGUGGGUGGACCAGGCAAAUCCGGUCUGCUGUCAACACUGAGGCGUGAUGACGAGGCACUACGGUGCUGAAGUGACAGAUGCCCUGCUUCCAGGAAAAGCCUCUAAGCAUCAGGUAACAUUAAAUCGUACCCCAAACCGACACAGGUGGUCAGGUAGAGAAUACUCAGGCGCUUGAGAGAACUCGGGUGAAGGAACUAGGCAAAAUGGUGCCGUAACUUCGGGAGAAGGCACGCUCUUGUGGGUGAAGUCCCUUGCGGAUGGAGCUGACGAGAGUCGCAGAUACCAGCUGGCUGCAACUGUUUAAUAAAAACACAGCACUGUGCAAACACGAAAGUGGACGUAUACGGUGUGACGCCUGCCCGGUGCCGGAAGGUUAAUUGAUGGGGUUAUCCGUAAGGAGAAGCUCUUGAUCGAAGCCCCGGUAAACGGCGGCCGUAACUAUAACGGUCCUAAGGUAGCGAAAUUCCUUGUCGGGUAAGUUCCGACCUGCACGAAUGGCGUAAUGAUGGCCAGGCUGUCUCCACCCGAGACUCAGUGAAAUUGAACUCGCUGUGAAGAUGCAGUGUACCCGCGGCAAGACGGAAAGACCCCGUGAACCUUUACUAUAGCUUGACACUGAACCUUGAGCCUUGAUGUGUAGGAUAGGUGGGAGGCUGUGAAGUGUGGACGCCAGUCUGCAUGGAGCCAACCUUGAAAUACCACCCUUUAAUGUUUGAUGUUCUAACCUGGGCCCGUAAACCGGGUCGGGGACAGUGUCUGGUGGGUAGUUUGACUGGGGCGGUCUCCUCCCAAAGAGUAACGGAGGAGCACGAAGGUUAGCUAAUCCUGGUCGGACAUCAGGAGGUUAGUGCAAAGGCAUAAGCUAGCUUGACUGCGAGAGUGACGGCUCGAGCAGGUGCGAAAGCAGGUCUUAGUGAUCCGGUGGUUCUGAAUGGAAGGGCCAUCGCUCAACGGAUAAAAGGUACUCCGGGGAUAACAGGCUGAUACCGCCCAAGAGUUCAUAUCGACGGCGGUGUUUGGCACCUCGAUGUCGGCUCAUCACAUCCUGGGGCUGAAGUAGGUCCCAAGGGUAUGGCUGUUCGCCAUUUAAAGUGGUACGCGAGCUGGGUUUAGAACGUCGUGAGACAGUUCGGUCCCUAUCUGCCGUGGGCGUUGGAAGAUUGAGGGGGGUUGCUCCUAGUACGAGAGGACCGGAGUGAACGCACCGCUGGUGUUCGGGUUGUCAUGCCAAUGGCACUGCCCGGUAGCUACGUGCGGAAGAGAUAACCGCUGAAAGCAUCUAAGCGGGAAACUUGCCCCGAGAUGAGUCUUCCCUGGGAACGUGAUUCCCCUGAAGGGACGUUCGAGACGAGGACGUUGAUAGGCUGGGUGUGUAAGCGUAGCGAUACGUUGAGCUAACCAGUACUAAUGACCCGAGAGGCUUAACCUUACAACACCGAAGGUGUUU